CAGCCGCCGCGGUAAAACCAGCACCUCAAGUGGUCAGGAUGAUUAUUGGGCCUAAAGCAUCCGUAGCCGGCUCUGUAAGUUUUCGGUUAAAUCUGUACGCUUAACGUACAGGCUGCCGGGAAUACUGCAAAGCUAGGGAGUGGGAGAAGUAGACGGUACUCGGUAGGAAGGGGUAAAAUCCUUUGAUCUAUUGAUGACCACCUGUGGCGAAGGCGGUCUACCAGAACACGUCCGACGGUGAGGGAUGAAAGCUGGGGGAGCAAACCGGAUUAGAUACCCGGGUAGUCCCAGCUGUAAACUAUGCAAACUCAGUGAUGCAUUGGCUUGUGGCCAAUGCAGUGCUGCAGGGAAGCCGUUAAGUUUGCCGCCUGGGAAGUACGUACGCAAGUAUGAAACUUAAAGGAAUUGGCGGGGGAGCAC
rnacentral:rRNA from 2 species